CAGCACCUCAAGUGGUCAGGAUGAUUAUUGGGCCUAAAGCAUCCGUAGCCGGCGCUGUAAGUUUUCGGUUAAAUCUGUACGCUCAACGUACAGGCUGCCGGGAAUACUGCAGCGCUAGGGAGUGGGAGAGGUAGACGGUACUCGGUAGGAAGGGGUAAAAUCCUUUGAUCUAUUGAUGACCACCUGUGGCGAAGGCGGUCUACCAGAACACGUCCGACGGUGAGGGAUGAAAGCUGGGGAAGCAAACCGGAUUAGAGACCCGAGUAGUCC
rnacentral:rRNA from 1 species